UGAAUACGAGAUGCUACGGCGUCGAAGCAGUCUAUGUCAUACUUCCAAGAAAAGCUUGCACUGUCAUAAACAAAUAAUGCCUGUACCAUAACCGACACAGGUGGGUAGGUAGAGUAUACUAAGGGGCGCGAGAUAACUCUCCCUAAGGAACUCGGCAAAAUGACUCCGUAACUUCGGGAGAAGGAGUGCCUUAUUUAUAAGGUUGCAAUAACAAGAUCCAAGCAACUGUUUACCAAAAACACAGGUCUCCGCUAAGUCGUAAGACGAUGUAUGGGGGCUGACGCCUGCCCAGUGCCAGUAGGUUAAAGAAGUUGGUAAGCAUCCGCGAAGCUGAUAACUGAAGCCCUGGUGAACGGCGGCCGUAACUAUAACGGUCCUAAGGUAGCGAAAUUCCUUGUCGGGUAAGUUCCGACCCGCACGAAAGGCGUAAUGAUUUGGAUACUGUCUCGGAGAGGGGCUCGGUGAAAUAGACUUGUCUGUGAAGAUGCGGACUACCUGCACCAGGACAGAAAGACCCUAUGAAGCUUUACUGUAACCUGAAAUUGAAAUUGGACUUUACUUGCGCAGUAUAGGUGGGAGGCGUUGAGAAUAUUCUUGCGGGAUUAUUGGAGCCAUCAGUGAGAUACCACUCUUGUAAUGUUAGAUUUCUAACUUUGUAUCAUUAUCUGGUCAAAGAACAGUUUCAGGCGGGCAGUUUGACUGGGGCGGUCGCCUCCUAAACGGUAACGGAGGCGCACAAAGGUUUCCUCUGAACGGGUAGAAAUCGUAUCUAGAGUGUAAAGGCAUAAGGAAGCUUGACUGUGAGACCUACAAGUCGAGCAGGGACGAAAGUCGGUCUUAGUGAUCUGACGGUGCUGAGUGGAAAGGCCGUCACUCAACGGAUAAAAGUUACUCUAGGAUAACAGGCUGAUCUCCCCCAAGAGUUCACAUCGACGGGGAGGUUUGGCACCUCGAUGUCGGCUCAUCGCAUCCUGGGGCGGUAGUACGUCCCAAGGGUUGGGCUGUUCGCCCAUGAAAGCGGUACGCGAGCUGGGUUCAGAACGUCGUGAGACAGUUCGGUCCAUAUCCGGUGUAGGCGUUAGAAUAUUGAGAGGAGCCUUCUUUAGUACGAGAGGACCGAGAAGGACAUACCUCUGGUGUACCAGUUAUCGUGCCUACGGUAAACGCUGGGUAGCUAUGUGUGGAGUGGAUAACCGCUGAAAGCAUCUAAGUGGGAAGCCCACCUCAAGAUAAGUAUCCUC
rnacentral:rRNA from 1 species